rnacentral:rRNA from 1 species
CACGUAGGGGACGAGCGUUGUCCGGAUUCAUUGGGCGUAAAGGGCGCGUAGGCGGCCUUCUAAGUCGAACGUGAAAUCCCCGGGCUCAACCCGGGAACUGCGUCCGAGACUGAAAGGCUUGAAUCCGGGAGAGGGAUGUGGAAUUCCAGGUGUAGCGGUGAAAUGCGUAGAUAUCUGGAGGAACAUCGGUGGCGAAGGCGGCAUCCUGGACCGGUAUUGACGCUGAGGCGCGAAAGCCAGGGGAGCAAACGGG